rnacentral:misc_RNA from 1 species
GCAACCCUCGUUCUUAGUUGCCAGCAUUUCGGAUGGGCACUCUAGGGAGACUGCCGGUGACAAACCGGAGGAAGGUGGGGAUGACGUCAAGUCAGCAUGCCCCUUACGUCCUGGGCUACACACGUACUACAAUGCUCGAGACAAAGGGCAGCAAGUAUGCGAAUACAAGCAAAUCUCAUAAACUCGGGCUCAGUUCAGAUCGCAGGCUGCAACUCGCCUGCGUGAAGUCGGAAUCGCUAGUAAUUGCAGGUCAGCAUACUGCAGUGAAUUCGUUCCCGGGCCUUGUACACACCGCCCGUCACACCAUGGAAGCUGGUCACGCCCGAAGUCGUUACCCUAACCGUUCGCGGAGGGGGACGCCGAAGGUAGKACUGGUGACUGGGGUGAAGUCGUAACAAGGUAGCCGUACCGGAAGGUGUGGCUGGAUCACCUCCUUUUUAGGGAGACCCAACCAAUUUUAGAUUUGAGAUUUUGGAUUUGAGAUUUGAAAAACAAUCAAUCCAAAGUCAGCAAUCAGCAAUUAAAAAUCUAAAAUUGAGUCAUCCCAGGUCGGUCGCAGGAUUGAGACAUGGCUUUCAAACUAUUAAAUGGUUCGGUAAAAGACAGUGAAAAAAAUAAUGUAGAGAUGCUAACUCAGCAACCAAAGACUACUUGUCAGGACUGCUGGGUAAAGAGCCAGCCAGAACCUUGAAAACUGCAUAGAGAAGCGAAAGUAGGUAGUAGUUGAGAGUUGAGUAAAGAUGUAGUUGUGAGUGAAAAGCCAACAACGAAGUGAAAUUGCUCAACAAUCAACCAAAUCCAGACACCAAUGUAGAG